UGCCAGCAGCCGCGGUAAUACGUAGGUGGCAAGCGUUAUCCGGAUUUAUUGGGCGUAAAGCGAGCGCAGGCGGAAGAAUAAGUCUGAUGUGAAAGCCUUCGGCUCAACCGAAGAAGUGCAUUGGAAACUGGGAGACUUGAGUGCAGAAGAGGACAGUGGAACUCCAUGUGUAGCGGUGAAAUGCGUAGAUAUAUGGAAGAACACCAGUGGCGAAGGCGGCUGUCUGGUCUGUAACUGACACUGAAACUCGAAAGCUGGGGGAGCAAACAGGAUUAGAUA
rnacentral:rRNA from 1 species